GGUGGCUCAGUGGUAGAGUGCUCGCCUGGCAUGCUAGAGGCCCUGGGUUCGAUUCCUCAGCACCA
rnacentral:tRNA from 1 species